rnacentral:lncRNA from 1 species
UGCGGUGCGGUGCAAGAUUUACACCAAGUCCCCCGGAUUUUUAGUCUUUCCUUUUUCUGAUGUCUUCAACCCUGGUGCUGAGGUUCCACACUUGAGACACAAGGAAAGCACCAGGUCCAGACUGCAUCUCCUCUUCCACCUUCAAAACCUUUGCUGGCCAUCAGGAUCCAGGUUUCGCACAUGGACUGUCCUCAGGGAUGAGUCCUCUCCCCACAGCGCUCCAGGAUUGUCUCCAGAACUACUGAAACGAGUCAGAGGGACAUAAAAUCAACAUUCCAAUGUGACCUGCUACUCUUGGGAGGAUCUUGCGCAGUGGCCUCCUGGUGACUGUUGGCUCCUUGGGCUUCUUCCGAGGCCGGCCCAUCCUCCUCUAAAAAAAAAUCUCUCUCUCCGUCUCCUGAAAAGAAAGCUGUACAGGUAAUAUAUGAUGCUAAGCUAAAUGAUGCUAAGCUAAUCUCUCAACCAGAAACUACAAACUAAAUUAGUUCUAAAGUCUAAAAAGUAAAAUAAUUAAUAAUAGCAGUAAAACAGUAAAAUAGUUAGCCUUUAAAAAGGCUUUUGUGGUGAAAAGUUAUAUUUUUCUUCUUAAGAAAGCACAGAAGUACAGAAAAGCAAGAGUCUAGAAAAUGUCACUUUCUGUCACUUUCUGUGUCGCUUAGCAACAGUCUGUUAUAAACAUACCUUCAUAUGUAACAGCACUGAGCAGCCAAUCAGGAGCCACAUAUUUAAACAAACAUUUCUUUAAACCUAAACUAUUUUCACAAUUGCACCUUUGCCUAUCAGAACUGAAAAUCAAGAUUUUUUGGUCUAAAUACAUGUUUGAUAUAUUUGUGAUUGUAAUUAUUAUGAAAUUAAUAAAAGUAAUUAUUUUUUCCA